rnacentral:rRNA from 1 species
UACGAAGGGGGCUAGCGUUGCUCGGAAUCACUGGGCGUAAAGCGCACGUAGGCGGCUUUUUAAGUCAGGGGUGAAAUCCUGGAGCUCAACUCCAGAACUGCCUUUGAUACUGAGAAGCUUGAGUCCGGGAGAGGUGAGUGGAACUGUGAGUGUAGAGGUGAAAUUCGUAGAUAUUCGCAAGAACACCAGUGGCGAAGGCGGCUCACUGGCCCGGUACUGACGCUGAGGUGCGAAAGCGUGGGGAGCAAACGGG